CCUGAGCCAAAAUCAAGAGCCAGACGCUUAACCGACUGAGCCACCCAGGCACCCCAAAAUGAAUGUGAACCAGCUUGAACAUGGAUUCUAGGGAGUGGUAGAGCCUCCAAAUAGAAGCGAUCUAUAUUCCUGAAAGAUGUUCAGCAGACGAGGCAGGGAUGCGGAUGAGAGGUCUGAAGCUGGAACAGCCUUUUUGUGACCCUGAAGGAAAAGGAGAAUCAGAGCUUUUGCUGGAAUUCUGUAGAGGAAUGCCUCCUUUGUCGCUUACCUUCGUCACGUGAACGCAGCAGGAACCGGAGGCGUGGUCAGAGUGGUGACGGAGAUGACCAGAGAAUCAGAGAAUGGCUUCAAGUAUGACUGACCAGAAUGGCUUCUACUCUUCACUCCUGUGUUAACGAUUGCUCAGACUUUUUCAAGAAAUGUGUAGAAACAUGUGUGAGGCGCAGCAUGCUUCUCUUAUUUUGCUGAUAAAGACUCUCUGGCAUUAGCCAAACAGGCUUCUUGGAACAGUGACCAUUUUUAAUGGCAAGCAACCGUGUCCUCCAACAAAAACCACCCUUUCACAUCUUUUUUCUAAGCAGUUUGCUGAUUUCCAUAGAGAGACAGCCAGCGAGAGAAGGAACACAAGCCGGGGGAAUGGGAGAGGAAGAAGCAGG